rnacentral:rRNA from 1 species
AUUGAACGCUGGCGGCAUGCCGUACACAUGCAAGUCGAACGGCAGCACGGGGGCAACCCUGAUGGCGAGUGGCGAACGGGUGAGUAAUGCAUCGGAACGUACCCAGUCGUGGGGGACAACGUAGCGAAAGUUACGCUAAUACCGCAUACGACCUGAGGGUGAAAGCAGGGGAUCGCAAGACCUUGCGCGAUUGGAGCGGCCGAUGUCGGCUUAGCUGGUUGGGGCGGUAAAGGCUCACCAAGGCGACGAUCUGUAGCGGGUCUGAGAGGAUGGUCCGCCACACUGGGACUGCGACACGGCGCAGACUCCGACGGGAGGCAGCAGUGGGGAAUUUUGGACAAUGGGGGCAGCGCUGAUCCAGCCGUGCGUCGUGCGGGAAGAAGGCCUUCGGGUUGUAAACCGCUGUCGGACAGAGAGGAGUCGCAUGGGCUAAUACCCUGUGUGGAUGACGGUACUGUAAGAAGAAGCGCCGGCUAACUACGUGCCAGCCGCCGCGGUAAGAC